rnacentral:lncRNA from 1 species
AGAAUUUGGGGGUGACGUCACACAUUUGGGCGUGACGUCAUGGCUCAUAAAGGGAGCUGCUUCGUUAGGGAUCGGGGGCUCGGCGACAGGGCUUGAACAGGGGGUGUGGGGUGGGCAGCGGUGGUGCAAGAUCUCUGUGCUCUACAGCUGAAGGACUUUGUGAAGCAGACACGGCAACUUCACAUUCGGUAUUUUUACAGUCACUCACCAUUAAUAUUUUUGUCCUCCAUAAACUCCUCCGUAUGCUUUUCAAACUCAGGUUGGGGCUCUGCGGUCAGUUGGAAGAGAACAGGGGAGAAAAGGGGGAGUCCUCUUCUGUCUUACGUCCAAAUGUUCUCUACUGUGAUUAAUAAAGCUUCUGUCUGACCCAUCUUAAAUUGUCCUUGCCUUAUCACACACUCGGGGCCCUUAUAUUCUCUGGCAGCGAUGAACAGCUCUUGAGAACUGGACCAGUCACUGUUAAUGGGAAGCAGAGAGGACAAGCUAUAGGUUUUCUGCAAGG